AACGAACGCUGGCGGCAUGCCUAACACAUGCAAGUCGAACGAUGCUUUCGGGCAUAGUGGCGCACGGGUGCGUAACGCGUGGGAAUCUGCCCUUGGGUUCGGAAUAACAGUGAGAAAUUGCUGCUAAUACCGGAUGAUGUCUUCGGACCAAAGAUUUAUCGCCCAGGGAUGAGCCCGCGUAGGAUUAGCUAGUUGGUGGGGUAAUGGCCUACCAAGGCGACGAUCCUUAGCUGGUCUGAGAGGAUGAUCAGCCACACUGGGACUGAGACACGGCCCAGACUCCUACGGGAGGCAGCAGUGGGGAAUAUUGGACAAUGGGCGCAAGCCUGAUCCAGCAAUGCCGCGUGAGUGAUGAAGGCCUUAGGGUUGUAAAGCUCUUUUACCCGGGAUGAUAAUGACAGUACCUGGAGAAUAAGCUCCGGCUAACUCCGU
rnacentral:rRNA from 1 species